UAAGAAAAGCAAAACCGUCGCCCGCGGUCAGUGGUAGGGGCAGCGUUGGCCCGCUCCGCCCAUUUCCGGUCGGUGUUCUAACUGGUAGCCUUCCCUGUCAUUCGGCGCCCGCCUCUGCUCUCCUCACAACCAAUGGUGACCUGAGGAGCUCGGUCCCCGCCCCGCAGCUCAUUAGUUGCUUUUUUCUUUUUUUCUUUUUACUGGUCACGUUUCCUGUCCAUCACGUAAAGAAACGAAUAAGCUGUCAAAAGAACCGGGCCACCCGCCUCACUACAUUCGCUUUUUAUUGGCCAGUGUUUGCGUCACACUCUGUGAAUAAGCCAAUCGCACCAGUAAAGAGAACUUUUCUUCUUCCUUUUUAAGGGGCAUGAACAAUGAGAUGAAAUGUGUAUUUUUCCACCUCGGUCGUUCUUUUGCCGCUAAACAAUUAUUGGUCCCUGCUCAUAUUCAUUCAUUCAUUUUGUACCUCAGCUUUCUCUUACCUCUACAGAAAUCGCAGGUCCCCAAAUCUUUUUCACACCUUCCAGGGGGAAAUGAUUUUACCUGGCAGACAUUAUUCUACCUUUCUGGUGGCUGCAGCUGACGAGGGCAUCUUGCGAGGAAUUUGUGCAUUUUCAUUUGCAAUACUUUUUUAAAAAACAGAAAACCAGAAUUUCCCAGAUUUUCUUUUCUUAUUUUAAAAAGUAUUCUUGUCAAUUCAAAAUAUUCUGUGAUUCAGAAAGUUUCCAUUCAGCUAUCAGCAUUAAAGGCUGCAAUAUUGUAGAAUAAUUGUAGAGAAUAAUCA